rnacentral:rRNA from 1 species
GACGAACGCUGGCGGCGUGCCUAAUACAUGCAAGUAGAACGCACAGUAUAUACCGUAGCUUGCUACACCAUAGACUGUGAGUUGCGAACGGGUGAGUAACGCGUAGGUAACCUGCCUGGUAGCGGGGGAUAACUAUUGGAAACGAUAGCUAAUACCGCAUAAUAUUAAUUAUUGCAUGAUAAUUGAUUGAAAGAUGCAACUGCAUCACUACCAGAUGGACCUGCGUUGUAUUAGCUAGUAGGUGAGGUAACGGCUCACCUAGGCGACGAUACAUAGCCGACCUGAGAGGGUGAUCGGCCACACUGGGACUGAGACACGGCCCAGACUCCUACGGGAGGCAGCAGUAGGGAAUCUUCGGCAAUGGACGAAAGUCUGACCGAGCAACGCCGCGUGAGUGAAGAAGGUUUUCGGAUCGUAAAGCUCUGUUGUAAGAGAAGAACGGGUGUGAGAGUGGAAAGUUCACACUGUGACGGUAUCUUACCAGAAAGGGACGGCUAACUACGUGCCAGCAGCCGCGGUAAUACGUAGGUCCCGAGCGUUGUCCGGAUUUAUUGGGCGUAAAGCGAGCGCAGGCGGUUAGAUAAGUCUGAAGUUAAAGGCUGUGGCUUAACCAUAGUACGCUUUGGAAACUGUUUAACUUGAGUGCAGAAGGGGAGAGUGGAAUUCCAUGUGUAGCGGUGAAAUGCGUAGAGAUAUGGAGGAACACCGGUGGCGAAAGCGGCUCUCUGGUCUGUAACUGACGCUGAGGCUCGAAAGCGUGGGGAGCGAACAGG